UCAGACACAGCCGCUCAAUUAAAGCAUGGUCGUAAUGAAUUACACGCGAGGAUUGCAUCGCAGCGCUUUCAGACCACCAUGAUAACUGCAGGAUUCAACGCGACGUGUUCCUGAUUAUCUGCUGACUGACUGAGUGUGUGAUAAUUGCGCUCAGUUCAUGGAAAUGGUGAAUGAAUGGAUCUAAACGCUGAUCCAGCACUGAUCAGAUGGAGCUGAAAGCACCAUGAAUGUCCUGAUUCACUUGGAUAUGGAGCUGUAAGUAAUAUUUUAGUAUAACUUCAGGGUUGUGAGUGAUGUAACUUGAAGAAAAUCUGACCUGAAGGUCAGCGUUUAGACUGUUUCUUUAUUCAAGCCUGUGAUGAGAAAAGUUAUCCCUGUCUGAAAAACACGUGUGGAGUUUUGGUACCUGAGGCUUGUUAGAUUGUUUUGUUUUACUUUUUUUUUUUAACCAGUUAUUUGAACUGAAGUGACUAAUUUUUACACUUUUGCAGAUGCGCUCCAUGGUGACUGAAUGCUGGAGAUUGACGUCAGACCAUGAAAUGUCUCAACUUUUUAUUAUCAAAUAAAGCGUAUCAAAACU